GUUCCAUCCCUGGCCCGCAGUCCGAACAAUCGAUUACAUCAUCGAUACACAAACAGCUGUGGAGAACGGAACUACACAACACUACAACAAAAGACGACGGAAAUCCACAACAUAAACAACAAAACCUGCAAUCAACAACAAAACGGUAAGAUCCCGGUUCCGGACCCAGGCGUACCCGCCCUGCCUGAGAUGACACCACUCCGUCAUCUCCCUCAUGUUGGCCACCGAAUGGACCUACUUCAUCCUGCGUUGGCCAUCGUGUUUCUCCCUCCCCCUACAGCAAUAAUUAUACGGACAUUUUCAUGUUCAGAUAUACGAGGAACGAAAACAUGGCCAUCAACAUAAAUAAUGGCAUAUACAAAUUUGCACCGUAAAUGUGCGACACAAGGCUGUGGCGGAGACGCCGCGGGACAAAUAUAUAUAUAUAUGUUUAUACGUAUGUAUGUUAUGGAAUAGUAUGUUAAGGUUAAAUGUGAAUCGCUUAAUAUUACCUUAGCCUGCCUAAAGAGCUCUCUGGGUGGUUUAAGGGGCGAUGUAAGGGUAGAGUAUAUGUAUAUAUUGAUAAAUGUUUAUAUAUAUAUAUGUGUUUAUCUGUCAAUCUAUGUGUGCUUGUGAUUGUAAUUAAAUAUCGUUAUAUACUUAAAUGUAUAUAAAUAUCUGUUAAAUAUUAA